GUUCCUACGGGAGGCAGCAGCGAGGAAUAUUGGUCAAUGGUCGGGAGACUGAACCAGCCAAGCCGCGUGAGGGAUGAAGGUACAGAGUAUCGUAAACCUCUUUUGUCAGGGAACAAAGGCGGGGACGUGUCCCCGGAUGAGUGUACCUGAAGAAAAAGCAUCGGCUAACUCCGUGCCAGCAGCCGCGGUAAUAUGGAGGAUGCGAGCGUUAUCCGGAUUUAUUGGGUUUAAAGGGUGCGUAGGCGGACUGGAAAGUCAGCGGUAAAAUCGAGGGGCGCAACCUCUUUCCGCCGUUGAAACUGUCG
rnacentral:rRNA from 1 species